UUAGGAAUCUUCCCCAAUGGGCGAAAGCCUGAGGGAGCGACGCCGCGUGGGUGACGAAGGUCUUCGGAUCGUAAACCCCUGAACGAGGGACGAAAACCCCGUAGGGGGCAUGACGGUACCUCGGUAAUAGCACCGGCUAACUCCGUGCCAGCAGCCGCGGUAAUACGGAGGGUGCAAGCGUUACCCGGAAUCACUGGGCGUAAAGGGCGUGUAGGCGGCUUAUUAAGUCUGGCUUUAAAGACCGAGGCUCAACCUCGGGAGUGGGCUGGAUACUGGUGAGCUAGACGACUGGAGGGGAGGGUGGAAUUCUCGGUGUAGCGGUGGAAUGCGUAGAUACCGAGAGGAACACCAGUGGCGAAGGCGGCCCUCUGGACAGUGCGUGACGCUGAGGCGCGAAAGUGUGGGGAGCGAACCG
rnacentral:rRNA from 1 species